GCAAGCGUAGUGUAGUGGUUAUCACAUCUGCCUUACACGCAGAAGGUCGUGGGUUCAAUCCCCGCCGCUUGUA
rfam:Stentor coeruleus isolate WM001 SteCoe_contig_80, whole genome shotgun sequence.